rnacentral:rRNA from 1 species
AGCGAACGCUGGCGGAAUGCUUAACACAUGCAAGUCGCACGCCCUGCAAGGGGAGUGGCGGACGGGUGAGUAACGCGUAGGAAUAUGUCCAGAGGUGGGGGACAACCAUGGGAAACUGGGGCUAAUACCGCAUAUGGGCUGAGGCCCAAAGCAGUGAUGCGCCUUUGGAGUAGCCUGCGUCCGAUUAGCUUGUUGGUGGGGUAAAGGCUUACCAAGGCGACGAUCGGUAGCUGGUCUGAGAGGACGACCAGCCACACUGGGACUGAGACACGGCCCAGACUCAUACGGGAGGCAGCAGUGGGGAAUAUUGGACAAUGGGCGCAAGCCUGAUCCAGCAAUUCCGCGUGGGUGAAGAAGGUCUUCGGAUUGUAAAGCCCUUUCGACGGGGACGAUGAUGACGGUACCCGUAGAAGAAGCCCCGGCUAACUUCGUGCCAGCCGCCGCGGUAA